rnacentral:rRNA from 1 species
AACGAACGCUGGCGGCAUGCCUAACACAUGCAAGUCGAACGGGAUCCGAGCUUCGGUUCGGUGAGAGUGGCGGACGGGUGAGUAACGCGUGGGAACCUGCCCAGUGGUGGGGGAUAACUGCGGGAAACUGCAGCUAAUACCGCAUGAGCCCGAGAGGGGAAAGAUUUAUCGCCAUUGGAGGGGCCCGCGUUCGAUUAGGUAGUUGGUGAGGUAACGGCUCACCAAGCCUUCGAUCGAUAGCUGGUCUGAGAGGAUGAUCAGCCACACUGGGACUGAGAUACGGCCCAGACUCCUACGGGAGGCAGCAGUGGGGAAUAUUGGACAAUGGGGGGCAACCCUGAUCCAGCAAUGCCGCGUGAGUGAUGAAGGCCUUCGGGUUGUUAAAGGACUCUUUUGUCCGGGGACGAUGAUGACGGUACCCGGAGAAUAAGACCCGGCUAACUUCGUGCCAGCAGCCGCGGUAAU